rnacentral:lncRNA from 1 species
UAGGUAUGUAAUGGUAAAAAAAAAUUGGUAAUAAAUAUUUGUUACUAUCUAAUUUUUCACUAUUAAAUUUAUCCCUUAAUUAAUUUUAUCUGUUAGAUCAUGUUAUUCUAUCAAACACGGACUAAAUUUUAGAAGGACCACUGUAAAAUUUUCAGAGACAAAUAUUAUUUUAAUUUUAUAGUUUUUCAUCCAAGUGAGAUAAGCUUAGUAAUAAAAAGGUCUAAAUAUUUAGCUGACUUUAUAAAAUUACCUUUUUAUUUUUGGUAAACUUCAAAUAUCGCCCCUGUAAUUUCGCACUUUCUCAUUUUAGUAUCCUGUUAUUUAAAGUGUAUUAAUUUAGUAUCCUGUGGUUUCAUUAUCUUUUUUUGUCACCUCAUUGGUGAACAUUUCAUUAAAUCAUAUCCAAAAACUUCAGAUAUCUUUUUUAUAAUUUAUCGAAUAUUCACUUUAGUAUCUUUUAGUUCUAACUUUAUUACCGAUUUAACAAAAAAAAUUAGUAAAAAAAAUAAUAAAAAAAUUAAACUGUAAAAUACGAAAAUAAUAUAUUUUAAGCUAUAAGGUAAAAAUACGAAAUCAUAAGAAUGGAAUUUGAAGU